AAUUGAGUUGAAAGCACAUACGACCUUAAAUUCAUGGUGCCCUUUAAGGAUUCUCCUGUAAUCCAAAUUCUGUGAUUCUAGAAUACUCAUUGAGAAAGAUGAUGUUCACCUACUGCAAGGAGUAGAGAUCGCACUCCAAGGCUAUGCUGAAGAGCAAUUAAGAGAGCAAAAAAAUACAGACAACAAAGCCCCCACAUCUUGGCAUUUUUAAAGAAUAGUUAACAGAGACAAAGAUGGAGAAAUAGGAGGUCCCCAGCCAUCAUCCCCCUACAGAAGCAACAAUUUUCCAGCCACCCGUGGACAAAAGUGCCUUUGUGGGAGCCUUGGGAUCCAGGACGUGCAAACUCAUGGCAAGAAGGUGAGGAAAACAGCUACGGAGGGAAGGAUGAGAAGCAAUGCAAAGUGACAUAUACCAUCCUGGCCACAGCUUCCCAAGUUGGGUCCUUUGCUGGGUGCACUCAUGUGGCCAUGAGGGACAUCUCAGAGAGACUGCAGAGAUCAGAAAAACUCAUCAAAAUGGAGACCUGCAAAUAAGAGGAGGAAGAGGGAGGAGAGAGAGCACAGAAAUCUUCCAAGUGGCUUCAGUGACAGAAGGGGAGGAGUCACCACCUGCCAUUUGCAUGGAAGUGUUUUUGUUCCUCUGGUUUAUUGCUCCUAUUUAUGCAUGCGUGUGCAGGAUCUUCAAAAUCCAGGUAAGAAACACAGUGAAGAACUCAUCUACUGCAAGCUUGGCCCCAUCCAUCAGUACCAGUGAAGAGAGACAAAUCAGGAUAGAAAGACAUCACUACCAUCUCUAUGGUCAGUGAUAUUAUGGACUAAUGAAUAAAAAUAACUGCUUUACACAGGA
rnacentral:lncRNA from 1 species